AGGUGAGUGGGGGACCCCCAGUCUGAACGAUGAAGCGGGCUGGGGGAAACGCGCGGAGUGCAGACUGGGCCUGUGGGAAAGGAUCUGAAGCCUGAGAGAGAUCUCCAAAAUACUGAGAAAUGUCUGAAGACAGACCCUCACAGGGAGGGAGGACGGUGAGGAGGAACCCCAAAGACUGAUGGUGGAGGCGGAGGACAGAGCCCAGUCUGAGGGAGGACUCCAGGUGGGGAGGCUGAGACGAGAGAGCUGCGAUGGGGGCGCCGGGGCUGGGGUGAAAUGGAGGAAAGGAGAUGAGAGAAGUCUGCAAGCAAGGCCAAGACUGCCCCUGGGAUCUAAAGGUGCAGCGAGAAUAUUGAAAUUUGUGAAUAUCUUCUGGCCCCUAAUUUUGCACCCCUGGCAAUUAUGCAGAAGAUGAUCAGAAAUGGAAAAAAGAACAGGAAGGCAUCCAGGGCUGUUUGAAUAGGUAUUAACAACUAGUUUGUUGUUACUGGGGUUUUUGUUUGUUUUUUUAAGGAAACCAGAAUGUAUCCAUUUUAAGCUGUCCUUCCUUGUAGUUACCUUGUCUCAUUGCAUUAUCCACUUAAUUUAUCAUUGUUGCUGACAAUUAAUGUUUUUGGAAGUAAUUUGGAGCUGCUGCUUUACAAGUCACAUAAUAAAACCUGUCACUCUAGAGUCACAAUUUUAGACAAAAUUACAUAUCCAGGUUGAUAACUAGACCCAGCUAGAUGGCUUUUGGCCAUUGCUACAGAUUAAAUCCAGCCUGGAGAGAAUAUUCAAGCAGUAAAGGCACUUCCAAAAGCUGUCUCCAGAAAUCUUUUAGGACGACAAUGUCUCAUUCUUUUUGUCUUCCAUAGUGCUUAGCCUAACUCCACAAAGAUAGCUCCAAUGUUUAUCUGGUUGAGUCACUUUAACAAAAAUAGUCCUGUUACUUCAUGGUUCACAUGUUAUUUAUUUCUUUAUUUAUGAGACAGAGUCCCGCUCUGUUGCCCAGGCUGGAGUGCAGUGGCCCAAUAUUGGCUUACAGCAACCUCCGCCUGCCAGGUUCAAGAGAUUCUCGUGCCUCAGCCUCCCAAGUAGCUGGAAUUACUGGCAUGUGCCACCACGCCCAGCUAAUUGUUUAGUACUUUUAGUAGAGAUGGGGUUUUGUGGUGUUGGCCAGGCUGGUCUCGAACUCCUGGCCUCAGUGAUCCACCUCGGCCUCCCAAAGUGCUGGGAUUACAGGCGUGAGCCACUGCAUUCGGCUUAUUUAUUAGGUUAUAAAGACAAGAUCUCAUUCUGUCAGCCAUGCUGGAGUGCAGCAGCAUGAUCACAGUUCCGUGUACCCUUGCCCUCCUCUACUCAAGCAAUUCUCCCUGUUGUACCUGAGCGAGUCAAGGAAUGCACCACACUCUGAGAAUGAUUUAUGAGUCCUUUAUUAAGUUGGCGACCGAGAGUGGCUAAUGCCCAAGAUUCUCUCGGCCCCGAAGAAAAAGUUAGGUGGUCUUUAAUACACUAGUUUUACCAGGAAGAGGGGAACCUAGCUGAAACAAAGUUUUAACACAGGCAGAGUAAACAAAAAGUUAAAAAGAAAAACUGAUAUAUAAGAAAUAAAACAGUGCCAGGCGUGAGGAGUACAGCUGUCAUGAAAGACAUACAACUUAUAGAUAAGGCGGGCUCUGGACACUCACUGCAGCUGCAUUUCCAGGCUUUGCUGAUAUCACUUUACUCGGCCUCUUAUCAACAAAGCCAUUUCUGGGUGCCCAGAGUCCGUCUGACCUUGCUUUAUACUAUUAGUUCCAUACUUAAUGGGGAGAAGAUUCCUAAAAUGAAGAAGCCAAGAUGGAGUAUGUUCAGCUCAAAAAGGCUCACAUAGAGCCUGAACAGCUUUUAGUCAGGGAAAAGGAGAGUUAGUUUUAGCUGGCAAAAAGCAGGGUAUCACAUCCCACCUCACGCUCCUCAGUACAUAGGACUAUACCCAUGGCCCACCACACUUUGCUGUUUUUUGAAAUUUCUUCCUUUUUUUUUUUUUUUUUUUUUUUUGUACCGGUAAGAUUUCGCUAUGUUGCCCAAGCUAGAAUGCAGUGGCUAUUCACAGGCACAAUCACAGCUGACUACAGCCUUGAACUCCUGGGCCCCAGAAAUCCUCCUACCUCAGCUUCCUUAGUCGCUGGACUUAUAGCUGCCUGCCCGGCUUAGAUUUUUAUUCUGUGCAUCAGUGUGUAGAAAUAGUUGUGUUAUUUAAACAAAAGGGAUUAUCCUAUAUCUGCUGCUGUUUGCGUGUUUGUUUGUUUUUAGACAGGGUCUUGCUCUGUCACCCAGGCUGGAGUGCAGUGGUGUGAUCUCAGCUUACUGCAACCUCUGCCUCCCGGCUUCAAGCGAUUCUUGUGCCCAGCCUCCCAAACGUAUUUUUUCUUUUUCUUUUCUUUUUUUUUAAUUACCUUAUUAGACUCAAUGUUCAUUGGUGGCAUAGCAUCCCAACUAUCCAGGACUAUAGAUACACACCACCACACCUGGCUAAUUGUUAUACUUUUACUAAAGACAGGGUUUCGCCAUGUUGACCAGACUGGUCUCAAACUCCUGGCCUCAAGUGAUCCGCCUGCGUCGGCCUCCCAAAGUGCUGGGAUUACAGGCAUGAGCCACUGCACCCGUCCAUCUUUUUAAAUUUAAUACAUAUAGCCCAGAACUCCUAGAUCCUCCCAGUCUACCUCAGCAUACCAAGUAGCUGGGACUACAGGUGCAUGCCACUGUACCUGGCUGGAAGUCAUUUCCCAUGAAUACUUGGAGAUCUGCCUUAUUGGAAAUGAUGUCAAGAUCAUAUACAGUAUGUUAUCAUAGUAUGACAUAUCUAUCUCAGAUAACAUGGUGGCUCAGCUGAGAUUGUGCCAUUAUACUCCAGCCUGGGCAAAAAGAGUGAAAUUCUGUCCCCCCGCCCCCCAAAAUAAAAAAAAUCCCAGCACUUUGGGAGGCUGAGGCAGGUGGAUCAUUUGAGGUCAGGAAUUUGAGGCCAACCUGGCCAACAUUGUGAAACCCCCUCUCUACUAAAAAAAUAUAAAAAUUGGUCAGGUACAGUGACUGACACCUGUAAUCCUUGUACUUCAAGAGGCUAAGGUGGGUGGAUCACAAGGUCAGGAGUUUGCGACCAGCCUGGCCAAUAUGGUGAAACAUCAUCUGUACUAAAAACUAGCUGGGUGUGGUGGUGUGCACUUAUAGUCCCCGCUACUCAGGAGGCUGAAGCAUGAGAAUCGCUUGAACCCAGGAGGUGGAGGUUGCAGUCAGCCGAGAUUGUACCACUGCACUCCAGCCUGGGGAAUAGAUGGAGACUGUGUCUCAAAAAAAAAAAAAAAAAAAUUACAAAAAUUAGCCAAGUGUGGUGGCACACACCUGUAGUUCCAGCUACUCUGGAAGCUAAGGCACGAGAAUUGGUUGAACCCAGGAGAUGAAGGUUGCAAUGAGCCGAGAUUGUGCCACUGCACUCUAGCCUGGGUGAUAAAGCAAGAUUCUGUCUCAAAAACAACAACAACAAAAACUAAAUUAAACUGAAAAAGGAAGGGAAAAGAAAACCUGGAGUUGUCCCUUUGACUACAUACAUGUAGAUCUGUAAGAAAAUAAGGUAGAUAUCCAGGGAAUGGGGGAAUGGGUACUGUUGAAAAAGGAAUGUCCCACGAGUGUUAUCAUGGCAAAACUGGAGUAGUCUACAGUAUUACCCAGCAUGCUGUUGGCAUUGUUGUAAGCGAACAAGUUAAGGGCAAGAUUCUUGCCAAGAGAAUUCAUGUACAUACUGACUACAUUAGUAACCCUAAGAGCUGAGACAGCUUCAAAAGGCCUGAAGGAAAAUGAUCAGAAAAAGAAGGAAGCCAAAGAGAAAGGUACCUAGGUUCAACAGAAGUGCUAGCCUGCUUCACUCAGAGAAGCACACUUUGUGAUAACCAGUGGAAGGGAGCCUGAGCCGCCCAAACCUAUUCCCUGUUAAUUCAUGGCUUAAUAGAUGUGAAAAAACAAAAAUAGUCCAGGCAUGGUGGCUCGUGCCUGUAAUCCCAGCACUUUGGGAGGCCAAGGCAGGCAGAUCAUGAGGUCAAGAGUUUGAGACCAGCCUGACCAACAUGGUGAAACCCAUCUCUACUAAAAAUACAAAAAAAUGGCUGGGCAUGGUGGCGAGCUGCAGUAAUCCCAGCUACUCAGGAGGCUGAGGCAGAAUCACUUGAACCAAGGAGGCAGAGGUUGCAGUGAGCUGAGAUUACGCUAUUGCACUCCAGCCUGGGUGACAGAGUGAGACUCCAUCUCAAAAAAAAAAAAAAAGAAAGAAAAGGAAAAGCAAGGAUUAAUAUAUAUAGCAUGGUCAGCUUUGAAAAUGCCAGAGAGGCCAGAUGUGGUAGCUCACUCCUGUAAAGCCAGCACUUUGGAAGGCUGAGGUGGGUGGAUCACUUGAAUCCAGGAGUUUGAGACCAGCCUGGCCAACAUGGCUAAAUGCCAUCUCUACAGAAAAUACAAAAGAAAUUAGCUAGGUAUUGUGGCACAUGCCUGUCAUCCCAGGGAUGCUGGGGCGGGAGGAUCACCAGAAUCUGGGAGGCAGACAUUGCAGUGAGCCGAGACUGAGCUGCCUUCACUCCAAUCUGGGCGACAGAGUAAGACCCUGUCUCCAAAAAGAAAAAAGAGGCUGGGCUCAGUGGCUCACACCUGUAAUCGCAGUACUUUGGAAUCCUCCAACUGAGGCAGGGGGAUUACUUGGGGUCAGGAGUUUAAGACCAGCCUAGCCAACAUAGUGAAACCCCAUCUCUACAAAAAAAAGUAAAGAAUUAGGCCACAUAUGGUAGCACACUGGUAGUCCCAGCUAUUCAGGAGGCUGAGGUAGAAGUAUCACUUGAGCCCAAGAGUUUGAGGUUGCAGUGAGUUAUGAUUAUGCUACUACCCUCAAGACUGGGUGACAGAGUGUGACCCCUAUUUUUUUUUUUUUAGACAUAGUUUCACUCUUGUUACCCAGGCUGGAAUGUAAUGGCGUAAUCUCGCCUAGGCAUAAUCUCGGCUCGCAAUCUUUGCCUCCAGGUCCAAGCGAUUCUCCUGCCUCACCCUCCUAAGCAGCUGGGAUUACCAGUGUCCACCACCACUGGUAAUCCCAAAUACUUGCUUAUUUUUCCUUACAGUUUUACUUCCCUAAAAUAAACUUAUAGUCUGUUUUUGUCUGCUUUGGAAAUCUACAUAAAAAUGAGAUAAUUAGGUAGACACACUGGCAUUGCUUGUUUUACAUUCUGUAGUUUGUAAGAAUCAUCCAGCCUGGCCAACAUGGUGAGAUUCGUCUCUAUCAAAAAAAUUUGCUGGUCAUGAUGGCACAUGCCUAUGGUCCCAGACACUUGGGAGGAUCACUUGAGUCUGGAAGGUCAAGGCUGCAGUGAGCUAUGAUUGCACUACUGUACUCCAGCCAGGACAACUGAGAAACACCCCGUCUCAAAAAAAAAAAAAAAAAAAAAAAAGAA